rnacentral:rRNA from 1 species
GCAAGUCGAGCGGUAGAGAGAAGCUUGCUUCUCUUGAGAGCGGCGGACGGGUGAGUAAUGCCUAGGAAUCUGCCUGGUAGUGGGGGAUAACGUUCGGAAACGGACGCUAAUACCGCAUACGUCCUACGGGAGAAAGCAGGGGACCUUCGGGCCUUGCGCUAUCAGAUGAGCCUAGGUCGGAUUAGCUAGUUGGUGAGGUAAUGGCUCACCAAGGCGACGAUCCGUAACUGGUCUGAGAGGAUGAUCAGUCACACUGGAACUGAGACACGGUCCAGACUCCUACGGGAGGCAGCAGUGGGGAAUAUUGGACAAUGGGCGAAAGCCUGAUCCAGCCAUGCCGCGUGUGUGAAGAAGGUCUUCGGAUUGUAAAGCACUUUAAGUUGGGAGGAAGGGCAUUAACCUAAUACGUUAGUGUUUUGACGUUACCGACAGAAUAAGCACCGGCUAACUCUGUGCCAGCAGCCGCGGUAAUACAGAGGGUGCAAGCGUUAAUCGGAAUUACUGGGCGUAAAGCGCGCGUAGGUGGUUCGUUAAGUUGGAUGUGAAAUCCCCGGGCUCAACCUGGGAACUGCAUUCAAAACUGUCGAGCUAGAGUAUG